GACAGAGGUGCCAAGCGUUAGGCGGAAUCACUGGGCUUAAAGCGUGUGUAGGCGGAUCGUUAAGUACCUUGUGAAAUCCCACGGCUUAACCGUGGAACUGCUCGGUAUACUGGCGGUCUUGAGCAACCUAGGGGCGAGCGGAACAAAUGGUGGAGCGGUGAAAUGCGUAGAUAUCAUUUGGAACGCCAAUGGUGAAAACAGCUCGCUGGGGGUUUGCUGACGCUGAGACGCGAAAGCCAGGGGAGCAAACGGG
rnacentral:rRNA from 1 species